CUGACCUUAGGCAUUUACUAGCCAUGUGACCCUAGGCAAGUCACUUAGUUCUUUUUGUUUCAGUUUUCUCAUUUUUAAAAUAGAAAGAAAUGGCAAACCACUUUAGUAUCUUUACCCCAAAAUGGGAUCACGAAAAGUUGGACAAGACUGAAACAACAAAACCUUAGCGAUACCCUACUUUCACAGUACUACAGUUUCUGAAACCCAACAGAAAAUCCCUUGGGGACAAGAAGUCUCCUACUCCAGCUUCCUUGUUAGAGCUUGUUUCAUGUUUUGAGGUUAGAGCAGAAAUUCAGGGGGCUGCUAAGUGGUACAGUGGGAAGAGCACUGGCCUUCCAGUCAAGAAGACCUACAUUCAAAUCCAGCCUCAGACACUUAAAACAUCCUAAUUGUGUGACUGAGCAAGUCACUUAGCCCCAAUUUCCUCACCAAAAUAAAGAGUAGAAAUUCAGAGAACAUAGGAGCAAGUGUGCUGAAACAUUGCAGUACAGUAAAAACAACGCUGGUUCUGGAGGAUCUAUUUUAAAUUUUACAUUUGCGGCUUACUUAAAUUAUUCUUUAAUUUCUCUGGACCUCAGUUUCCUCAUAUAAGGGAAUUGGACUAAAGCUUGUCAGGGAUCCUUCUAUUUCUAGGUCUAUGAUACUAUGAACCCUGAAAUUGGGGCACAGAAAAUGUGGUGGGUUCUGUAGGUACAGAACUCAUAACUGCAUGGCAUCCUCCAUUGGGUAAAUGAAGCAGGAAGUGAUGACAACAUUAAUAGCAUAAAGACUCAUAUAUGUCUGGGUAGUUCACUAUUCCUGAGUAUGAGUAUUUGUCUAUAUCAACAUUUUCUGAUUCCCAAUCACUAGAUUAAAUACUUCUCUCUAUUUAGUAUUACUAUUUUGUUAUUUUUGUUAUACUAACAUUAACCAUUGUUUGAUACUGCUGGUAUUCAGAAUGCAUUUGACUGUGCCACUGAAGUAAAGUCAGAAACAUGAAUAUCAAAUCCAAGUUCUAAGACACAAGCCAGCUCUAGUUAGUUAGGAUCACAAUGGGAAAUAGUAAAAAAGAUCCUAAAUCAUUCCUCCUUAUUCAAAUGAAAUAUUUAUAAAAACUCCUUAGCACAGUGCUUGGCACAAUAGAUACUUAAUGCUAGUUCCUUUCCUCCUUUAUCCAUAGGCAGAGGGUUUAGAUGCAGCUGCCUAUGUGGCUUCUGCCUAAAGCUGCCUUUACUGAAAUUAGAACUGUCAGGGCAAAUUCCUGACAUCUGGCAAGUCUACCUGAGCAGCUGGAUAUAGGACAGUCACCAGGGGACCAUUGCAGUGACAGGAGAUUUCAGCCUGUGGUUAUUAAUGACAGUAUAAUGAUCAUAAUAACCAGAACAUCCAUUCUUUUCCACCUGCUUCCAUGCAGGCAAGACCUGCACACUCGACAUAAGCUGUAACUCCACACAGGGUUAUUUCACCCACAGGAGAUAUUUCAGCCCAGGAACACCUGUUGAAAAUGUAUAAUCAUGCUAAUAAAAUCAAGAAGAGAAACUCUGAAGCAUCAAUGCAAGUGAAUUCCAGAUAAUGCUAUUAUAGAAAUAGAUACAGAUGUCUCUAGGAGUAACAUAAACCAGAGGAAUAUAAGAGUUCUAAGGUCUGUCAAAUUAUUUUUUAAGAAAUAUU
ensembl:lncRNA